rnacentral:hammerhead_ribozyme from 10 species
GAACAGUAGGGGCUUGGGCAGGCCCCCUGAGGAAACUGUAU